GACGAACGCUGGCGGCGUGCUUAACACAUGCGAGUCGAACGGGCCCGCCCCUGUUUUAGGGGGUGGGUUGAGUGGCGAACGGGUGAGUAUCACGUGAGUAACCUGCCCCCUGCUCCUGGAUAACUGCUUGAAAGGGCGGCUAAUACGGGGUGUGCCGGCUGGUCCGCAUGGGCCUGGUCGGGAUAGUUUCAUCUUCGGGUGUUUCGGUGGGGGAUGGGCUCGCGGCCUAUCAGCUUGUUGGUGGGGGGUUGGCCCACCAAGGCGGUGACGGGUGGCCGGCCUGAGAGGGUGGGCGGCCACACUGGGACGGAGACACGGCCCAGACUCCUGCGGGAGGCAGCAGUGGGGGGUAUUGCACAAUGGGCGGAAGCCUGAUGCAGCGACGUCGCGUGAGGGAUGGAGGCCUUCGGGUUGUGAACCUCUUUCUCCGGUGGUGAAGGCCCUGUCCGUUGCGGCGGGGUUGACGGUAGCCGGGUAUGAAGCGCCGGCUAACUACGUG
rnacentral:rRNA from 1 species